CAGGUCACACAGCUGAGCGGAUGAGCUCAUGGUGGAGCCCGCCUGCCCGCACCGGGGACGGACGGUGAUGGAGAGGCGCCUGCCCGGUGAGCUGGAGCUUCACGAAUCCAUCCCGACCUGCCGUGUAGCCGAAAUCACAUCACACCUGGCCUGUGUCUUUAGGAGYCCAAUUGCCAUAAGUAACAAAUAAUUUCUUCAAAAAGGUUUAAGUAUGUCCAAUCUUUAUGUCCUACACAUCUARAGAUGGUCAGGUGAAAACUAAGGCCAAAUAGUGGCCUMUAAUAAUUGUAAUAMGUYAUUCUARUUCCAAAAAGGGGUAUGAAAAUAUUCCUAAUACCAGCUUGUUUUCAGCUGUUCUAUUUUGCCAUAUAACAAUGCCAAUUAACAUAAGAGCCAAGCCCUCGCACAGUAAGCUGUCUGCUGUUGCUAAGAGUAGCGGGCACAAUGAGGGAAGCACAUCUCAUUCACGCUUCUCAAGGUCUGCUAAACAAGGGAAAGGCAAACAGGCCGUGAGCUCAACACCAGGAUGCCGCUCAGGACUUGAGCCUGGCUGUGUGUCAGGGGGUGUGCCUGCACCAGCGUCUAAGCUGGCUGGAGCUCAAGGGUCAGUGUCGAAGCCCGGUUCAAAACUCAAAGCUGGCACAGCAGCAGAUAAAGGCUCAAAUCGUGGUUCGGCAACAGCUCCAGGUGGYAAAACCCUGUCCAUGGAGAACAUCCAGUCUUUAAGCGCUGCUUAUGCCACUUCUGGCACUAUGUAUCCCAGUGAACAAGAGUCCUUGGAACCCACCGGUGGAUACCCCAAAGGCAGCUUGACAUUAGGCCGGAGUACCAGCCGCUCCUCCUACACCGGCCGCACAACAACCACGGGUAGCAGCCCAAACAUCACAUCCUCCGCGACUCAUCACCCGUUGGACACUUGCGGAAACCAYGCCGUAAUUACUGGAGGGACGUCAAGUUUGCGACGACAAUCUGGAAGGUGCGCACAGACGUCAGAGUUGGCCAGGCAGGCAGAGGUUUCCACCUACGACCUCCAGGCUCAGCUCAGGGACUUGCAGCGGGAGAACGACAGCCUCCGGAGAGAACUGGAAGGAGGGAGGGAYAGAAAGACRAGUCAUGGAAUGAACAGCGUUGAUUUCUGGAACCCGGACGUAAAGAGGGAUAAGGGGAGCCGACGAGAAGAUGGCGUGAGACCCUUGGUUGUGAAAGACCAGUACAGGCUGAACCAAGAAGACACACAGUCAGAAGACAUCAGAAGAAACAAGCAACUUCCAUUAACAGUUCAGGAGCUACAGGAAGAGCUUAAAGCUCACAGAGAGAUGAACAGUCGCCUGCGUCAACAGCGGCACCAGGGGAACUCCUAUCGAGAACACCAUGUGGAUCAGGAGUUCAGAGGAGGACUGAGCCCUGAACACAGCCCCAGGUACAGUCUCAUAAACCUGCACAGUCCUGCACCAAAGAACAGCCCCAAAGCUAGCCCGUCCAACACCUACAACCCAAGGCAUCAAGAAGCUGACAUCAUCAUCCACAGCCCUGGGUACGGCUGUAACUCUGCAGUAGCCACGCAGAGACUGAGCCCAGCCAGCACCCUCCAGCCCGGUCAGAGGAACAGUCCAAACCAGCCGCUCCACAGUCCCAGUCAAAGUCCAGCAGUGGGGCCCGGUUCUGGCUCCCUUCGGCCCUGCAGCCCCUGUCAGGUGCCCGGGUGUGAUGGCUUUUCCUCCCCUCCUCCCUUGGAUCCAUCAGAGGAGAACUUCUUCAGGCUGCAGUCGGCCCACGAGCGGCAAGCCAAGGAGCUCUCCCAGCUGAGGAAGACCAUGGAGGACAUGGAGAUUCGAAUCGACUCUCAGAAGCAGACUCUGGGGGCUCGGGACGAGAGCAUCCAGAGGCUGCUGGAGAUGCUUCAGGGUCAAGGUCAGGGACAGUGGGGCCGGGGACAGCGAACGGGGAUAAUAACCAUGGCAGCACAGGAGGCCGAAACGCAGCUGGAGAACUUGCAUUUGAAAGAGAACACGACCCCCACGUUCUGUUUUGACCCUGAUGUUAUCUGGCAGGACACCAAGAUCUCUUCCCUGGAAAGAAACAUCAGAGACUUAGAAGAUGAGGUCCAGAUGCUAAAAACCAGCGGCCUGUUGCACCCAGACGAGAGGCAGGAGGAGCUCAAGCAGGUGGAAGUCUACAAGAGCCAUUCUAAGUUCAUGAAAACUAAGGAGCAGGCAUUGUCACCAUGUGUAUCUUCCAUCAGACCAGCUCCCACCUUCCUCCCCUCCACCCAACAACCUUGGAUCACAGAACAAGCAGAAAUAGAGCAGCUGAAGCAGGAGCUGAACAAGAAGGAGUCGGAGAUGCAGGCCCAGCAGACCAAACUAGAUACACUGACCAAUCAGAACUCUGACUGCAAGCAGCACAUAGAGGUGCUGAAAGAGUCCCUCAGUGCCAAGGAUCAACGGGCCAAUACUCUGCAGACAGAGGUUGAUGCUCUGCGAGUGCGUCUGGAAGAGAAGGAACAGAUCUUGACCAAGAAGACCAAACAGCUGCAGGACUUGGGUGAUGAAAAAAGCACGCUAACAGGAGAAAUCCGAGACAUGAAGGACAUGCUGGAUGUCAAGGAAAGAAAAGUCAAUGUCCUGCAGAAAAAGAUUGAGAACCUGUUGGAACAGUUAAAGGAUAAGGACAAACAGCUUGCUGGAUUGAGAGAAAGGGUGCAGGGCCUUCAGACGGACUCCAGUAACACCGACACAGCUCUGGCCACUUUGGAAGAGGCUUUAUCAGAAAAGGAGCGAGUGAUCGAGAACCUCCGGGAACAAAAGGAACGAGAGGACAGGGUUCGGCUUGACGAGCUAGAGCAGAUGAGGAAGGCGAACCAGGAGCUAAAGAACAAACUGGCAGCCCUGCAACCCCAGAGACCAUCACAGAGCCAGGUCACGAACCUCAUCGCAACCCAGAAUCCCGAUGGAGAGAUCCAGCGGACAGAGGAUGCUGUCAGAAUUUGUCCCGACAUUACAGAUCGUCUGCGGCUUCUGGAGCAGGAAGUGUCCCGCUACAGAGAGGAGUCUCRGAAGUCCGAGGCUGAAGUUGAGAGGCUAAAGGGGGCUCUGAAAGAUUCUGAAAUGGACAAAUCAUGCAAGGAGAAGAAAACCGCUGAUUUUGAAAGGCAAAUCAAGUCUCCAAACAUCCAGAAGCAGAUUAUGCCAAGUGACUUGAGGAAAGAUGCUUUAACAGAUGGACAUCCAUACUCUUUAUCACAGCCUUCGCUUUCCACUUCCCAGGAUGCCAUGCGGGAGACGGCGGAGCGGAUUAUGGAGUUGGAGAAGGCGCUGAGAGAGAGCAUGAACACCUCAGCACACAGGGAGGCUCUGUGGGCGCAGGAGGAGGCUGCCCACGUUCAGGCCCAGAGACAGUUGGAAGAGUUGAUGGGGGCUUUGGAAAAGACUCGGCAGGAGCUGGAUGCCACGAAGGUGCGCCUGUCCUCAACUCAGAAGUGCCUGCAUGAAAGAGAUGGACACCUCAACCAGCUGCAGCAAGAGAGACGUAAACAGCUGGAGGAGAUUCUGGAGAUGAAGCAACAGGCUUUGCUGGCAGCCAUCAGUGAGAAGGACGCUAACAUUGCCUUGCUGGAGUUAUCAUCAUCUAAGCGCAAGAAAGCCCAGGAGGAAGUGAUGGCACUGAAGAGGGAAAAGGACAGACUCAUGCACCAGCUCAAACAGCAGACUCAAAGCCGAAUGAAGCUGAUAGCAGAUAAUUAUGAGGAGGAUUACGUCCAUCCCCAGCAUCAUCCUCAUCAUUUGCACCACAUGCAUCAGGCGAAUGUGCAUCAUCGGAGUCUCCCAAGAGGGCCCUCUCAUGCCAACCACAGACCCCAUAUAGAGCAGGAUGAUGAGGAGGGAAUAUGGGCAUGAAGACCACCACCAUAGGGACUUGCAACUUUUCAUUUUAUCAGGAGAUGGUUCCCGUUUAACCCGGACCACACCCCUGUUCACCUUCAUCAUUAAUCGCCAUCAGAGUGAAAAACUGCUCUUGGAACCACAAGGUUGAUUGACUUYACCUCCCAGCACUCGCUGGUUUGUCUUCAUUAUCAUGACUAUCAGACAAAAGAAGAUGUCCAUAUACAACCUAGUUUCCAUUAUUUCAGCCCACUUUGGUUAAGAUCAGCAUUUAGAUGCUCUACUGGUAAAUAGACAAAUGCAGUGUCUCACUGUGCAAAAUGUCCCAACCAGAGCACCGGCCAUCAAUGUGAGGUCUCAGAAUGCUGACAAGCACUGCCCUCCCUUCAUCCUCCUCUCUGUUUCCAAUCGACUGGAAGCUGGAUUUAUUUUACAGUACCAUGCUGCUACAGAAUCCUGGCUUCACAUCAACCAACAGUCACAGCACCGCUGAUGACUGCAAGCAUGGCAAAAGCUAAUCCAGUGGAACAAGCCCUAAACCCAUACCUGGUGUGGUUCAUAAUGCUAUGAAUGUGUUUACUUCUGUAGCUAAAUAUCGGACUUUUGUAAACAGGACAACAUGGACCUCAAAAUCAACAAUUUACUGAAACCUUCUUAAUGUACUGUGCCAAAGGAGUUGUCCCAAUCUGCUGGGAUGAAAAACUGAGCUGGAGCUGCWGUUCAUUCAUUUCUGACCCAAGACUACUUGGUAAUGUAGCUCAUUCAACUAUUACUGUACAGAGACCAACAAAGAAAAAUAUUGGGCUUUAAGAUGCCCCACAAGCAGGAUGAGAAUCAGCUUCCACUUUUUUUUCCUUUCCUUCAAAAAGUCAAGACCCUAAUUUAAGAAGGGAAACUCAACUAAGCCAGUUUUCUGUAUGAGCGAAUGGUUUUCUCCUUGUGUUCCUUCAGCCUGCUGUGCAUUUGUUUUAAGAAACAAAAUCAAAGUCCGUUUGAUUUUUCGACAUCUGAAACUGAGUGCCACUCUUUUUUUGUAUCACAGCUACUGUGUGUCUUAUUAUACUGAAGAAUGGUGUGUUUCUSUAUUUAUUGAUCCUGUGAAAUUGUGUGACACAUCUGACUACAGUGAAGUGACUUAUUGCAUUUUAAACACCAGAAUCAUAAAUUUUCUUUGAGCUAAAAGGGUAAUCUGAUGUGUGACAAUUAUUGGCAGUCUUGCUGUGACUCAACAUCCUAACCGUGUGUUAAAUCUGUCCUUUUACUGAAAAUGUACAGUUUAUUUAUCUAUUUAUUUUUGCACGUGUGCUGUUCAGUCAUGGUUGUGGUGAAAGUUUUGGGGGUAACUGUACUUACCCUUGGCUUGUUCCACAAUGUAUUGCAGAUGACAAUUUGUUGCUGUUGAGUGAAUAAAAGCUGUUUCACAAGA